UUCCAACAGGAUCUACAGGAUUCGAUCGACUCCAAUCCAAAUUUCUUCCAGAACUUCGUCAGUUCAUCAGUGGUCGAACUUUUCCAACAGCAGAUCUCCAUGACGGACGGACUCCAUCCAAAUUUCUAUGACGGUCGACCGUCUUCUGGACUUCGUCCGGGCUCCUAUGGGAGCCGGACUUCCUCUCCAAACUCCUACUGUAGGUAGACUUCGUCUGGGCUUUAAUGGGAGCCGGACUUCUUCUCCGAGCUC
rnacentral:lncRNA from 1 species